rnacentral:rRNA from 1 species
GGUUAAGCGACUAAGCGUACACGGUGGAUGCCCUGGCAGUCAGAGGCGAUGAAGGACGUGCUAAUCUGCGAUAAGCGUCGGUGAGGUGAUAUGAACCGUUAUAACCGGCGAUUUCCGAAUGGGGAAACCCAGUGUGUUUCGACACACUAUCAUUAACUGAAUCCAUAGGUUAAUGAGGCGAACCGGGGGAACUGAAACAUCUAAGUACCCCGAGGAAAAGAAAUCAACCGAGAUUCCCCCAGUAGCGGCGAGCGAACGGGGAGGAGCCCAGAGCCUGAAUCAGUGUGUGUGUUAGUGGAAGCGUCUGGAAAGGCGCGCGAUACAGGGUGACAGCCCCGUACACAAAAAUGCACAUAUUGUGAGCUCGAUGAGUAGGGCGGGACACGUGGUAUCCUGUCUGAAUAUGGGGGGACCAUCCUCCAAGGCUAAAUACUCCUGACUGACCGAUAGUGAACCAGUACCGUGAGGGAAAGGCGAAAAGAACCCCGGCGAGGGGAGUGAAAAAGAACCUGAAACCGUGUACGUACAAGCAGUGGGAGCCUCUUAAUGGGGUGACUGCGUACCUUUUGUAUAAUGGGUCAGCGACUUAUAUUCUGUAGCAAGGUUAACCGAAUAGGGGAGCCGAAGGGAAACCGAGUCUUAACUGGGCGUUAAGUUGCAGGGUAUAGACCCGAAACCCGGUGAUCUAGCCAUGGGCAGGUUGAAGGUUGGGUAACACUAACUGGAGGACCGAACCGACUAAUGUUGAAAAAUUAGCGGAUGACUUGUGGCUGGGGGUGAAAGGCCAAUCAAACCGGGAGAUAGCUGGUUCUCCCCGAAAGCUAUUUAGGUAGCGCCUCGUGAAUUCAUCUCCGGGGGUAGAGCACUGUUUCGGCAAGGGGGUCAUCCCGACUUACCAACCCGAUGCAAACUGCGAAUACCGGAGAAUGUUAUCACGGGAGACACACGGCGGGUGCUAACGUCCGUCGUGAAGAGGGAAACAACCCAGACCGCCAGCUAAGGUCCCAAAGUCAUGGUUAAGUGGGAAACGAUGUGGGAAGGCCCAGACAGCCAGGAUGUUGGCUUAGAAGCAGCCAUCAUUUAAAGAAAGCGUAAUAGCUCACUGGUCGAGUCGGCCUGCGCGGAAGAUGUAACGGGGCUAAACCAUGCACCGAAGCUGCGGCAGCGACACUAUGUGUUGUUGGGUAGGGGAGCGUUCUGUAAGCCUGUGAAGGUGGCCUGUGAGGGUUGCUGGAGGUAUCAGAAGUGCGAAUGCUGACAUAAGUAACGAUAAAGCGGGUGAAAAGCCCGCUCGCCGGAAGACCAAGGGUUCCUGUCCAACGUUAAUCGGGGCAGGGUGAGUCGACCCCUAAGGCGAGGCCGAAAGGCGUAGUCGAUGGGAAACAGGUUAAUAUUCCUGUACUUGGUGUUACUGCGAAGGGGGGACGGAGAAGGCUAUGUUGGCCGGGCGACGGUUGUCCCGGUUUAAGCGUGUAGGCUGGUUUUCCAGGCAAAUCCGGAAAACCAAGGCUGAGGCGUGAUGACGAGGCACUACGGUGCUGAAGCGACAAAUGCCCUGCUUCCAGGAAAAGCCUCUAAGCAUCAGGUAACAUCAAAUCGUACCCCAAACCGACACAGGUGGUCAGGUAGAGAAUACCAAGGCGCUUGAGAGAACUCGGGUGAAGGAACUAGGCAAAAUGGUGCCGUAACUUCGGGAGAAGGCACGCUGAUAUGUAGGUGAAGCGACUUGCUCGUGGAGCUGAAAUCAGUCGAAGAUACCAGCUGGCUGCAACUGUUUAUUAAAAACACAGCACUGUGCAAACACGAAAGUGGACGUAUACGGUGUGACGCCUGCCCGGUGCCGGAAGGUUAAUUGAUGGGGUUAGCGGCAACGCGAAGCUCUUGAUCGAAGCCCCGGUAAACGGCGGCCGUAACUAUAACGGUCCUAAGGUAGCGAAAUUCCUUGUCGGGUAAGUUCCGACCUGCACGAAUGGCGUAAUGAUGGCCAGGCUGUCUCCACCCGAGACUCAGUGAAAUUGAACUCGCUGUGAAGAUGCAGUGUACCCGCGGCAAGACGGAAAGACCCCGUGAACCUUUACUAUAGCUUGACACUGAACAUUGAGCCUUGAUGUGUAGGAUAGGUGGGAGGCUUUGAAGUGUGGACGCCAGUCUGCAUGGAGCCGACCUUGAAAUACCACCCUUUAAUGUUUGAUGUUCUAACGUUGGCCCGUAAUCCGGGUUGCGGACAGUGUCUGGUGGGUAGUUUGACUGGGGCGGUCUCCUCCUAAAGAGUAACGGAGGAGCACGAAGGUUGGCUAAUCCUGGUCGGACAUCAGGAGGUUAGUGCAAUGGCAUAAGCCAGCUUGACUGCGAGCGUGACGGCGCGAGCAGGUGCGAAAGCAGGUCAUAGUGAUCCGGUGGUUCUGAAUGGAAGGGCCAUCGCUCAACGGAUAAAAGGUACUCCGGGGAUAACAGGCUGAUACCGCCCAAGAGUUCAUAUCGACGGCGGUGUUUGGCACCUCGAUGUCGGCUCAUCACAUCCUGGGGCUGAAGUAGGUCCCAAGGGUAUGGCUGUUCGCCAUUUAAAGUGGUACGCGAGCUGGGUUUAGAACGUCGUGAGACAGUUCGGUCCCUAUCUGCCGUGGGCGCUGGAGAACUGAGGGGGGCUGCUCCUAGUACGAGAGGACCGGAGUGGACGCAUCACUGGUGUUCGGGUUGUCAUGCCAAUGGCACUGCCCGGUAGCUAAAUGCGGAAGAGAUAAGUGCUGAAAGCAUCUAAGCACGAAACUUGCCCCGAGAUGAGUUCUCCCUGACUCCUUGAGAGUCCUGAAGGAACGUUGAAGACGACGACGUUGAUAGGCCGGGUGUGUAAGCGCAGCGAUGCGUUGAGCUAACCGGUACUAAUGAACCGUGAGGCUUAACCUU